AUCAGAGGCCCUGCCAACUCCUAUGUUUCCAACACAUGCCCUGCUGACUCCUGUUUCCUUCUUGACUGUUAUUUAGGGAGCAAGACGGUGAGGGAGGGCUGGGAUGGAGAGCAGGGGGCGUAGUAGGGGUACGGCUCAACUUACCCCUGUCCUUUGGUCAACUUACCCCAUCCACAGGGUAAGUUGACCAUUGGAGACCACUUUUUUUUGGCAUGCUAUAUUAUCAAGACAGUUAUGUUUACACUCAUUCUGUUGGUUUGCAGGGAUGCACAACAUCUUGAAAUAUACGC
rnacentral:lncRNA from 1 species